GGGGGACUGGGCCAGGUUUGGGGGGUCCCUGACUCAUUUUUGGGGGUCCCUAAACCCAUUUUGGGGUCCCCAAUCCCAUUUCGGGGUCCCAAACC